UCCGGUGUCGAUGCGUUUGGGGGAAACACCCGUAAACAUACCGAACACGAAGGUUAAGACUCAGACGGCCUAUGGUACUAUGCUGGAGACGGCAUGGGAGAGCGGGUGGAUGCCGGAU
rnacentral:rRNA from 2 species